GACAGCUGUGUGUUAAAAUUGAAACUUCAUUCCCAGUCCUUCAAUGAAAAUAAUCUCCCUUACCUCCAUCUCUGCAUUAUUGAUUUCAGCUAUCAAGUAUCAAAUCGAACAGGCAAUUUUAAGUCUUGUCAGAAUUUACAAACUUUCUAACUUCGACCACACCCGAAGGUUUAGAAUCCAGGGCCUAAGAGCAGCUCGUUGAGUACAAACACAACAAAGACCAUCAGAUUUUGCCACUCCCCCUAUUGCUGUUUUCUGCUCUCUUUUUUUGCAGGGUGCACGAUGACCCGUUUUUGAAAUCGUUAAUUCCUUCAUAAUUUGUCAAUCAUUCAGCGUAUAGGAUGAUACUGGGUAUUACCUCGUUUUGGUGGCAACUUCCUCAAAAUGAAAAGGACUAAGGAUGAAGGUAAUAUCUCCACCAACUGCCCAUCAAAAGAAAACAAACCAACCAACAAAAUUCAUUUAAAAUUGCACUUUCCAUAUCUAUAAGCAAGGCAUGAAGUUCAUGUCCCACGCUUAGGAAUUAUAAUAAUAGAUAUAUUCAGUCUUAGAUUGUUGAGAGAAAACCAAGUUUGACAUCCUACUUAGACUGUUUUAUUUGGUUAUUUUGUGAAGUCGAAACUACUCGGUAGAUAGUAUAUACCAACUUAGCCUAUGUGAUUAGUGUCUAUAUUAAAGUUGCAGAUAAAUAGCAUUUGACUGACAUGCGAUAGAAAUCUAUAUAUAUAGGACAAGAAUUGACACUCAAGGAUAACAUCAGAUUGUAAUAUUAAGUAAAAAUAAUAAAAGCCAUAUGUAUUAAACUAAAGAUUAUAUUCAGAAAAAAAAAAGCAUACAAUUCAAAAAUAAAACAAGAAUCAUAUUUAGAAUCCACCAUGAUAAAUCUAUUUUCUAUGAUAAUAGGCAAAGAAGUAUAUGUUCUUUAAUUUAAUUAGUAAAAAUUUAAAAACUUAACACAUGGCUGCAGAUGUAACUCACAAUUAUCAGUGAAACUAUUAUUAAACCUUAAGUUCAAGGACUAGGUUGCAAUGAGGAUAAAAGUUGGGUGAUGGUGAUCUAUUUGACCCAGUAUACAACAUCUGGUCAUAACAAUAUAUGAUGUUAAAACAACCCCGUUUUAUAUUUGACAGCAAAAAUAGUCAUCACUGCACUUAAAAGCUUCUUUGAUGUAAAAAUCUGAUGGCAAAGACUUAUAAAUUGCUUGUCAAACUUGCAGUUUCUUGAAAUAUGAAUUUCUAGUUAAGUAAAAGAAGCAUGCAACAAUCAUUUAAUUUUUAUAUGGCAAUAAGAUGAGUUAAGAAACUUCCACACUGUAUUUGAACAUGAGUAUCUAACUUAAUAGCAAUAAGCAACAUAAAACAAACAUUCAUCAAAAACAACCAUUCAUCAAACUUACCAGGUAAUAUAUUAAGUUUAGAAUUGGAUGGUUCAAAACAUCAAGGUCAGCACCUUUGUCAAAUGCAUUAAAGCACAUCUACACAAAAAAAUAACAAUAGAGCUCAAAUUACAUAAGUUUGGACAAAUGAUCAAUGAUUGAUCAAUUAGAUAAAUGAUCUAAACCAACUAGCAGCUAAAGGGUUCAAGUUGAAUACUUCCAUUUUUUAACAAAAAUGCUAUAAACAUUAUAUGCAUCUAAAGUUUCACAAAGAUCAAAUAAAACAAGCUUAUAGCUUUCUCAAGAGAAAUACAAAGGGUUAGUAAAGCCAGAAAAGAAAUGAGGGGUCUACCAUGAUGCAUCUGACUAGGAAACAUGUGAAGCAUAUGGUUGUCACAUAACCAACCUGCCCAAUCCAAAAAGAAACAACAAUCAAAAAAUGCAAAUGGAUGGCAAAAUUGUUGGACUCAAAACCACAACUGCAUUAACGUAAAUAUAUACUUCUUGCAACUUCUUACGCCGUCCUUUGGACUCUACAGGGAAACGCUGCAACAUUAAGAAAAGCCUGCAAUGAUUGGAUAUGUUAUUAUAUAGCUUUCCCAUGCUCACACAAUAGACAAGGGAAAAAUCCACUGUUUUAAUUCACAAACCAGAUAUCAAAGCUUAUGUCAACAUAUAAAAAGAAAAAUGAUAUAGAGGUUUUAAAAUGUGUGCUCCCUAAACAUAAACCAAAUUAUCACACUAAGCUAGCUCCAAUGCCAUUAAAACAAUUAGAAACAAUACAAUAAAUGUCAAUGCAAUUACCUUCCACCAUACAGUAAAAAGCCAAGUGCCGCAAACAGUGACACACCUGCACAUACAGUGAGGAUCAAAUAUCCAUUCAUUAUUGAAACAAAUUACAACAGGAUUAACAUUUAUAAAGCAUCUAAACUAAGUGAUUAUCCUGAAUCGUGGUACAUCAACAGAGCACCAAAGUUACUCAACAGUUAACUACUAAAAAUCUAUUAAGAACACCAAAAAGACUUACCUGCAAAGAACAUUUUAGAUAGAAUGACUAAAACUGGGAUAUAUUUCCACCACAAUAUCAGCCACAUUGCUAUCUGAAAUCAAGUACCCCCAGCCUCAUGUUAGAGAAACUUUAUCAACAUCUUGUCCGAAGCAAUGUUUCAAAGGAAAUCAAGUAUGCAACAGCACUUACAAAGGUGACAGAAUCAUUAAACUUGCUAGAUAAGAAAAAAUAUAUACCUAUGUUACUUGGACUCAGGUAUGAGGGUCAGAUACGAGUAUGUAUCUGACAUAGGUGUGGCUAGUUUUUCUAUGUUUUUCUAUGUAUUUGAAGGAUCCUAGGAGGUCAUAUCUUCAUAUCCGUGUUUCGGACAUAAAUGUCGGUCAUGGGUACUUCAUGAAAAAUGAAGAGUCCGAACAACUUAGAUAUAUUUUGUGGGUUCAUAUUUACUACUAAAAUUUGCAAGUGCUAGAAACAUCCUUGCAUUGUUCUAGCAAAAGAAAUAGCGUAUUCUAACUUACUAACCUAUUUUAUCUAAUGGCAAAAUAAAUAUCAUAUUCUUCUAACCUUCUAAAAUCUGCAAAUGCUAUAUACAUCCUUCCCCACUUAACAUGUAUAGAAUAUGUGACAAAUCAACAAACGAAGUUAUGUGAAACUAUAUAACAUUAUUGUUCUGGACCAAACAUUACUAGCUUUCAAACAGAGAGAAAAACAACUUAAAUUCUCCUUUCUAUGGGCACUUUACCAAAAUAAUAGAACAUAAAUAUCACCUGAAUAGUAUAAACUACAGCAUUAAUUGUAAAGAAACUAGGCCUCAAUCCAUCAGUUGAUACAGCACGUGCCUGUUUACGAUAGACAAAGUUUAAGAUAAAGUCUCAUAAAAUUAGAAAGCAGGAGGUAGGGAGGCAACUCAUAAAGCUCAAAUAACCUAACCUGGUAGUAAAUCUCAGCCCAAAACAAAAUCAAAAGUGCAUAUGUCGUGAAGAAAGCUAGACUCGGCAUGUCAAGCAAGAUAUGUUGAACAAUCUAGAAAAGAUGCGAAAACCAAGCAACAAAUUAUGUACAACUUAAGUCCGAGUAUAUAUUUUCAAAAGAUAAACGCAAUGAGCAAUGGUGUCCCAAACCUCUGGAUGUAAAUUCUGCACACUCCGUCGGAAAACAAAAACUAAGGCGCGAACUGUGUUAAAAAAGAAAUCGCGUUAAAUACAGAAACCAAAAUACUAAAAAUAAAAAGCUUUCAUUAAAAUUUUAUAAAUACAAACCCCCAUUCACCAGAAAAUUUAGAAAAUGGAAGACCUUCUGCGUGGUCCAACCAUACUCGGGAACUCUCAUUUGUAUCCGAAUCAAUUGAACCUAAAAAUAUCAAUUAACGACAACAACGUUAAGACCAUAAAUAUACUAAAACAGAAUCUUAAUUCCACUUGAUUUCUUAAAUAAAAUUUUCUUAUCGCAUUAAAAAGGUAGAGAAAGCAAAUAAGGAGGUUAGUUUUUAAAAUUAAUUAAUUAAUUAAAACACAAUCAAACCAAGCUAAGCUCUAAUUAGAGAAGAAAAAAGAUAGAAGGGAGGAGAGGCAUACGAGAGCAACGGCGGCGACGAGACCGUAAAGAGCGGCGAGAAUGUGAAAAAUGCGAUCUUGCCAGUGCCGUGAACCGUUAAUGUCACGCCACCAAUUGGUUGUGUCCUUCAGCUUGUAUGCUAUCGCCGCCACAUCGACGCUUGAAACCCAGAGAACUGAGACGUAUCCAAAGCUGAUUGAGACAAGGCAAACUCGACCCAACCAACUGGUAAAAGACAGGUAGUGGACCGAUCGACGAAAGUUGGCAGCGGCAGGUGGCGGUCGGCAAUAGGUCAUUCGACGGUGGCGAUGAUGGCGUCAACAGUGACGUUGACAGUGGUGACAACAGUGACACGUGGUGGUAACGAAGGUUCAACGUAGACCCCUUUGGUGAACUUUUUUCAUAUUUUUGGGUUUUGGAAAUCUCUAAACCAAGAUGUUUGGCUUUCACCUAGAAGACCCAAAGAAUACUUUGGGGUAAUAAAUGUAAAAUUAAUUUUUAUUUAUUUUUCUAGGAUGAAAUCAUGAAAACUUUGGCUGGUCAAAGUCAAUUUAUUUUAUGCUUUUAUAUGAUAGCAUAUGAUAUUUAAAUUGAUUGAAAAGUAUGUUAAUGCAUAUA